rnacentral:lncRNA from 1 species
UUUUUCUAGGUGCGGAUAUCUAGUUUCUGCUUCUCCUAAGGUUCGACUUAUAUAAUAAAUGGGAAAUUGCGUACCUUGCUCUUCUCGAACUAGGACACCGCUUACCGCGAUUUUUGAUACUGCCAAAUACAAGCAAAAUUUUUUGUCUAUUUUUGGAGUAUAAAGUAGUGGUGGGAUCGAUAGAUAUCGUUUUAAUUCCUCUAAUGCUUGUUGGCAUUCCGGGGUCCAAGCGAAAUCGUUCUUCUUUUUAAGUAGAGAGAAAAAUUUGUGACUUCGAUCUGACGAUCUCGAAAUGAAUCGGCCUAAGGCUGGAAUCCGUCCUGUUAGCUUCUGUACCGUUUCACGCUGUCCACGAUGGUGAUGUCUUCAAUGGCCUUGAUUUUAUCGGGGUUAAUCUUGAUCCCCCGAUUUGACACCAUGAAGCCGAGGAACUUGCCCAAACGACCCCGAAAGCACAUUUCUCGGGGUUGAGCUUCAAGUUGUAUUUCCUUAAAAUCUCGAAUGUUUCCUGCUAAUGGGUCAAAUGGUCCUCUGCGUGCAGGGACUUAACUAGCAUGUUGCCAAUAUAAACUUCCAUUGAUUUACCUACUUGUUCCUCGAACAUUUUAUUUACUAGGCGUUGGUAAGUAGCUCCUGUAUUUUUUAGCCCGAAGAGCAUCACAUUAUAAUAAUAUGUUCCAUAUUUGGUGACAAAUGAAGUCUUUUUCUGGUCUUCCGGGUUCAUCUAGAUUUGAUUAUACCCGGAAUAGGCAUCGAGAAAAGUAAGGAUCCCAUGGCCGGCUGUGCCAUCGAUCAUGCGAUUGAUAUNNNNNNNNNNNNNNNNNNNNNNNNNNNNNNNNNNNNNNNNNNNNNNNNNNNNNNNNNNNNNNNNNNNNNNNNNNNNNNNNNNNNNNNNNNNNNNNNNNNNNNNGGUUUGGUUACCUCGUCCUUUAUGAAUGUAUGCUUUACCUCAGACUGGGGUCUUUUCUUUGCUUCACGGUCUGAACCUAGGGUCCAAGCUUAGUCGAUGUGUUGUUAUGUCCGGCGGGAUCCCUGUUAUAUCUAAAUGGGACCAGGAAAAAUAAUCAAUGUUAUCGAUAAGAAAUUGAAUAAAUGUUUUCCUGCGUUCGGGGGUCAACCCUGUUCCCAGGUAUACCUUGCGUUCGGGCCAGUGCUCGAUUAGUGUGACUUGCUCCAAUUCCUCAAUUGUUGAUUUGGUAGCAUCGAAAUGAUCGGGAAUCACGAAGGAUCGAGGGAUCAUUUGAUCAUCAUCUUCGUCGAUCUUUUGAUUAUAUGGUCGGGUUAAAGCUGAUGUUUAUGAUUGCUAUUUGGUAUCUCGUUCCCCUUUUGAGCCCAAUCCCUUUACUGGCGAAGGCGAGGAUAUUGGAUUCACUUCCUCGACGGCAAACAUUUCUCUUGCGGCUGGCUAUUCUCCGUACACUGUUUUGACCCCUCUCGAUAUUGGGAAUUUAAGGACCUGAAGUAGGGUCGAAGGAACAGCUCUCAUGUUGUGGAUCCAUGGCCUUCCAAAAAGGGCAUUGUACCUAAUGCCGCCUUCGAUUACGUGGAACUUCAUUUCCUGGAUGGUCCCGUCCACGUUUGUCGUUAGAAAUAUCUCGCCUUUGGUGGUUUUACAUGCCAUAAUGAAUCCAUUUAUAACCAGGGUUGCAGGUACGACCUGGUCCUUUAAACCGAGUUGUUCUACGACCUUCAAUCUAAUGAUGUUGGCCAAGCUACCUAGAUCAGUUAACACACGCUUAACUUUAGUUUUAUUCAUAAGUACGGAUAUUACCGGUGCAUCGUUAUGAGGUUGUAUGACUCCUUCUGCAUCUUCAUCAUUAAAGGACAAAGUUCCUAUGGGUGUGUAAUCCUGAGUUCGAGACCGCUUUUCUCUCACAAUCGAUGUCUUAGUGCGUUUAAGCGCCGGUCCCUGAAGGGUAUCGGUGCCGCCGAUGAUCAUGUGAAUGACGUGCUGUGGUUCUUCUUGUUCGUUUUGCUUGCCGAAAUCACUGUUUUUAAAAUGGUUCUUAGCCCUAUCGCUUAAAAAUUCUCGAAGGUGACCUUUGUUGAAUAACCGGGCUACCUCCUCUCUUAGUUGCCUGCAAUCUUCCGUUCUGUGGUCAUGGGUGCCAUGAUAUUCACACAUUUGAUUGGGAUUCCUCUGGGCAUGAUUGGUCUACAUGGGUCGGGGCCAUUUAGUGUCUUUGAUGUGUUCGAUAGCCGACACGAUGGCGGAUGCAUCGAUGUUGAAGUUAUACUCUGAUAACCGAGGCGCUUCCUUAGAUCCAGCAGGCCUGUCGAACCUAUCUCUGUUCGUCAGCCCCCGGGAUCCUUAACCUCGAUCACUUGUUUUGUUAUUUUUCUUGGGGUUAUGUCUCGGUUCACCCAUUCUGUGGUUUCCAUUAUAUGGUCGGUAUCGAUCCCUGAUCGAACCUUGUUCUCGAUUAAUAUCCCUUCGAGCAGCGGGUUCCGACCCCAACUGAUCAUCUUCGACCCUAAUUUUUGAUUGGUACCGAUUGUGCACGUCGGCCCACGUGAUGGCUGGGUAUUCGAUCAGGUUAUGCUUCAACCUCCAUGAAGCCGUCGAACUUCAUUCGUUCAAACCUUGAUUGAAAGCCUGAACAGCCCAAUCGUCUGUGACUGGUGGCAGAUCCAUUCGUUCCAUUUGAAAACGAGAUACGAACUCCCUCAGCAUCUCGUUAUCCUUUUGUCUUACCUUGAAAAGGUCCGAUUUUCUUGUUGUGACUUUUAUGGCGUUGGCGUGUGCUUUUACAAAAGAAUCUGCCAACAUGGCAAAUGAGUCGAUGGAAUUUGGUGGUAGGUUGUGAUACCAAAUCAUUACUCCCUUCGAGAGGGUCUCUUCGAAUUAUUUUAACAACUCAGAUUCGAUUUCAUCAUCUUCUAAAUCAUUGCCCUUGAUGGCAUAUGCGUAAGAAGUGACGUGCUCGUUGGGGUCGGUCGUUUCGUUAUAUUUGGGAAUUUCGGGCAUACGGAUGUUUUUAUGGAUUGGUUUAGGGGAUACACUCGAGGGAAAAGGUUUUUGCACGAUUUUUUGGAAUCCAACCCUUUUAUCACUGGUGGAGCUCCGGAGAUCUGAUCGACUCUGGAGUUAUAUGUUUCUACUUUUUUAUCGUUGGCUUCGACUCACUUUGUGAGCUCCUCGAGUAAUUUAGCAAUUUCGGGAGUAGUCCUUGAUUCUUGCUCAUUUGACCUCAAUAUGGUUGGCUCCGUUCUGUGGGCGAUUUCUCGAGGUGGAUUGGGCUCCGGCCUGCUCUGUAGCUGGGUUUGGCUCUGCAAUUGAGCUAUUGCUGCCUGUUGAGCUUGUAACAUUUCAAAAAUCAUACGUAAGCUAACGCCGUUUUCCUCGACGUUAUGGGUAUCUCGAGCUGCAGACCGAGUGCCACCAUGAAUUCUAUUUUCAGGUUCAGAAUGUAGGUUUGCCUCAAUGGCCACAUGCGAAUUGAUAUCUAUUGGCACUUCGAUUCGAGCUCCAACUGCAUUGACAAGUGGUCUCUCGAUAUUGGGUGUCAAGUUGUUGUUCUCAUCUUGAAGACCGGCUUCGUUGUCGAUAGGUGAGGCCAUUUGAUUGGUAGUUAGUGGUUUCUAAUCCGAAAUCCAAGAUACUUUCGGAAACAAGCGCAAAACGGUAUAUUUUUGCAGAUUCGUAUCAAAUAAUCACUGUUAUCCUUAGCCCCACGGUGAGCGCCAAACUGUUUACCCGAAAAACGGAUAGAGUUGAAUUUGUACGUAGUUCUAAGGAUAUGUGGUAUAGCUUAAUAUAAAUCGUAAGGAUAAAUAGAAAUAUCAAAUAUGGAUUGCAAAGAAUGCAAAAUAAACAAGGUUGAAAAGAAGAUAAUUUCUAAAAAUAAGCAAUAUGAAUCAAUUAAUGAAGCUUUAAAGAAUAACUCUUGAAUAUAGGAGAGUAUGGUGCUUCAAUUACAAUGUAAGCAAAAAGCUACCCUAUAUAGAAAUGUAGUCAUGCUCUUUAUAGUGGAGGAUCCUACUUUAGAUAUAAUUAAAAAUACAUAGUGGAGACUCCAUGAUAAAUCAGCUUUUUCCUUAUUCCCACCGAGAUUUUCUCCCUUAGUGUGUUUGCAAUGGCUCUUGUAUGUGGGCUCAAGCUCGAUCGGCCUCGGUGCCGGUCGGUAGUGCUUCUAGUGCUCGAUACGGACUCGGGAUCAGGUGAUGAUUCGGACUCGGUCCCGAUUGGCCUCUGCCCCUUAAGCUCGAAAUCAUCUCAUCAUAGUUCGAUCCGGGCCCGAGCUCGACGAUGACUUCGAACCCGGUAUUUGACCUAUACCUGGAAUCCGAAGCUUAUUUGUACUAUUUUCGGAAUCUAUCUCGAUAUUACAAAGUCUUUCUUCGAUCCAUUAUGUUUCGACAUUGAUCAAUCGUACGAAGGCCGAAAUCUAUUUCGACCGUAUACAAAUAUAUCGUACCUUUCUUGAUUUUCUGUUUUGUUUUUGAUAGAUGGAUAUUGCUUUUGUUUCUCUGGUAUUCUGAUACUAGUUGAUUUGAUGAUUUUGAAGAUGAUGCUAAGAGUUUGAAGCUAAGGCUGAAUUUAUAGGCACUGAAAAGAAGUGGUGGUAUUGAUAGAAAAGGACAUUUUGGAGUUUCUAAAGACGAUAAACCAGUGGCUGUUUGACGAACUGUGUGCUCUUUACAGCUGCAGAAAGUGGUUUCCUAGUUAUUUUAUGGGAAAUCAUUUAUGUACUGAUUUUUUCUUUGUUUAUCAGAGGAUAAGUAGUUGGACGGUUGGACUCCAACGUACAGGGGUGGUUUGGUUGAGAAAACGGUAACUAGUAAUGCAGUGAUUGUAAAAAUUAAGUAAUGUAAGGAUUACACAAUAUAGAAAUUGUUUUUGUUAAAUAAUUAGUGUGAUAUAUUUUAUAUUAGCAUACUAUGUAAAAUUUAAAAUAUUUGUUUCCUUUUAAAUAAAUAAAAAAAAAUUCUUACUAUAUGGGAUAGUUUUAUUAUUUUAGUAUUUCUGACCCAUAUAUCACUAAUAUUUACAUUCUUAUUUUACAUUUUAGCCAAAAUAAAAUUAUUAUUUAUGAAGAAAAUAAGGAGCAAUCAAACAUUAUAUUAUUUAAUGCUGGAUUUUUAUGUGGAGAUAACCAAACGACACCUAAGUUUACGGAAGUUUAGGAGCUUGGAACCUCUAUGGUUUUACAAAUUCAUUUUACUUGUACGGAGACCCUACAACAUUCAAAUAAAUUAUACACCAGCCUUCCAAUUUUAGACAUAUUGUGAGUACUCAUAUUUGAUGCUUAUGUUAACUUACAUUAAUUAUUAUAUAUGAUUAAAUAAUAAACUGAGUUAGGAGUAUGAAUUAUGGGUAGUAAACGGUAUUCCAAGGAGGAAAUUGGACACGUUUUGUUGUUUAUCGGAAAAACGGUACAGUUGAAUUUGUAUCGUGUUUUAUAGAUACGUGAGUUAGAUUGAUCCGAUAAAAUAAAGUAAUAAAGAGCAAAGCAAAUAAAAUAAGAAUAAUUGAAGAAAAGACAAGCAUGAACUUCAGAUUGUGAAAAAUCUCGAUAACACUAGUAUAAAGCUUGAGAAAAGAAUGUUAGUCUUUUGCUAUCAGUAUUUCUUGACGUCUCACAAUUGAAUGAAAGUCUCUAUUUAUGAUAGAACUAUAAGUUACAUGGUUACAACUUAUGCCCCCCUUAAUUACCACAAUUAAUGUUAUAAUAAAAGGUAAUAAAGCAUAAUAAAACCUAAUAAAGACCGGUGGAAUCUUGGGGUCUUCUGUAACGUUUCUAUAAUGGUCAUAUCUUGAAUUGCUUCUUAUUCGGCCACAUGUUUGCAUCUCGUUUCACCAUGGUUGACUAGUCAUUAUUGACAUGUAUCACUUCAUCAUUCAUCCAACUCUUGAGACCGUUUUUUACCGUAUACAGAUAGUCCCCACCACUUUCCGGUUACUCAAUGUGCCCUCGCCACUGCCUCAUUAAAAGUCUUAUCGAAAAAACCCAAUCGGGAUAAAAACCGGGGGAAGAAAAAAGAGUGCAGUACUUAGGGAUUUAGUUGACAAUUUCGCCACUUAUUAUUCUUUCUUCAAUGACCGGUUGGAGCUGAAGAAGUGUCGUUAUCACAUAAAACUUGAUCUCGGGUUUUUAGUGUCCACCUGCAACUUUUUUUUGAGUUUUAACUCUUCGGUUUUUAGUUGUACCUCUUUGAUUGUUGACUCUUGGGUUUUUAUUUGUACCCAAAAACUUUUCUUUGAGUUUUGACUCUUCGAUUAUUAGUUGUACCCGAAAAUUUUUAUAAUCUCACAACCUUCGAGACCGGGGAUGUUAAUGACCAGGAAUUUUAAACUUCUGAUUUUGAUAAAGUUCCAGGAGUUUGAUGCAUCCAGUUAACUUUACGAUCGGGAAACAAGGCAUCCGACCUUUAGCCAUUUAAUUUGAUACAUUUAUAAGAGAGGGCCCUUAUGUUUACGGUGCUUAAGAAGAUGACGUCUUAUGUUCAUCAGGGCAUAAUUGUUCGGAUUUGUAAUCCUUUUUUACUUCUAAGUGUGAGCAAAUAUUAAGAAUGAUUUUAUUCAUUUAAAGAUAUACAAGAAUGUUUUUAGAAAAUAUAAGUUUUGCUUCAUUCCAUUCCUUGAACGUACACAAGUGUUUAUAACUUUGCAUAUAAAACAGUUUACAGGAGAUGAACAAAAAUACCUUGCAAGAGAAUGGUGACUGAGCUAACAUUUAUUGGGUCUAGUAGUUAUUGAUUCUAAUUCCUUUUUUUUUCCAGGCUUAUCUAGCAGUCCUCAGUCCUUUAUUUGGCAGUCCCCAGUCCUUUUCUUUAUUCUGGAGUCAAUUCGGGCUAAUUCGGCAUCUUGUACAGAUUGUUCCGAAGCAAUAGAUGCUUCUGGUACUUAUUGUUGCAUAUUCUGUUGCACUGAUGCAACAGUCCCCAACAUUCAUAGACAUUAUUGUCUUUCAUCGAAGUUAUUUUCUGGCGACUCGCUUCAGGUACGCCCCUGCCUCAUGUCAGUCCAUGAUCACGAACUCUCGUAGAAACUCCGAGUUUCAUUGAGCGAUUCCUGAAUAUAUCGGCUUUCUAGCUUGCACUUUUCUUGCUCUAGUGUGCGCUUUGAUGAAAGAAUAUGCAAGAACUUCAAAAGAAUCAAUUGAGUGUUCAGGUAAAAUAUAAUACCAUAUUAAAUCCCCUUUUGUUAGAGUUUCGCCAAAUUUCUUUAGUAAAACAAAUUCGAUCUGAUGCUGAGCCAAAUCAUUUCCCUUCACAGCUGUGGUGUAAGUUGUGAUGUGUUCCGAUGGAUCCGAUGUUCUAUCAUAUUUUGAAAUAUUCAGAAUUUUGAAUCUCUUUGGAAUCAACUCCGGAGCCGCACUGGGUUUUAAACAGCAAUUGUAUAUACUUUUUCGAAUCCUAGCCAUUUAGCAUCGGAGGUGCUCCUGGAUCUGAUUUAUUCGAGAAUGAAAUUCUUUAGCAUUUUGAUCCAUUCGAGCAUUUAUUUCCCUCAUAAAUCUCAUGAGUUCGGCUUUGAAAGAAUCAUUUGCGUUAUUUUUAUUUUCAAAUCCACUACUGGCACCACCUGCUUGAUUGUUGUUUCUUCCGAACUUUCCCCGGUAAUAGUGUCACCGGUUCUUGGUGCUGUUUGAUUUAUAGGGACGUUGGGAGGGACUCGAACUCUACUAUUUGAAUUAUUUGAAGUCCCCAGUAUUGCUUGUUGAAGCUCAAUCAUUAUCCGGUCUUGUCUUGAGAGAUGGUCCAUAAUAUUUUUCUAUUAUGUUCUAAACAUUUUCAUGGUAACAGCCACCGACUCACCAUCCAUAUCAUUAGGGGUAGGACUCCUCUCAUAUCGUCAGGGGUAGGACUCCUCUCAUAUCGAAUUUUUCUUUCUACCCGGUUAGGAGUUGACUCAUUCCCAAUGACACGAGUUUCACUAGUUGAACCAUCUUGUUGAUUUUUAUUAUGGAGAUUGUCCACGGGCUCAUCGUUGUAGUUUGUUCCAAUAUUUGAACGAGUUGUUGUUAUCAUUGUGUGCCAUAACUGUAGUAUGCUUAAAAUAGAAAAACCUUUUAAAGCACGUUAGUAUAAGAUGUACAAAUCAAAAUAACACCACAAUUAUCUAUGCCCCACGGUAGGCGCCAAACUGUUUAUCGGAAAAAUGGUACAAUUAAUUUUUAUCGUGGUUUAUAGACACAUGGAUUAAAUUAAUCCGAUAAAAUAAAGUAAUGAAGAACAAAUCAAGUAAAAUAAGAAUAAUUGAACAAAAGACAAGCCUGAACUUCAGAAUGUUCACAUCGGGAUCAAGAAUAAUUAGAAAAUCUCGAUAACACAUGUAUAAAGCUUGAGAAAAAGAAUGUUAGUUUUUUGCUAUCAGUAUUUCUUGAUGUCUCACAAUAGAAUGAAAGCCUCUAUUUAUACUAGAGCUAUGAGGUGUAUGGUUACAAAUAAUGCCCCCUUAAUUAUCACAAUUAAUGUUGUAAUAAAAGGUAAUUAAUGGUACUAAAGCUUAAUAAAAGCUAAUAAAGGUCGGUGGAAUCUUGGGGUCUUCUAUAACGUUUCUAUAACGGUCAUAUCUUGAAUUGCUUCUCAUCCGGCCACAAGUUUGCAUUUGGUUUCACCAUGGUUGACUGGUCAUUAUUGACAUGUGUCGCUUUCUCAUUUACCCAAUUUUACCGUAUACAGAUAGUCCCCUGAUAAAUGGCCAAAAGUGCAUAGUUUUGAGUGUGUUUUCAUCUCAUUUGUCAUGUGAGUUGCGGGAGAUUAUAUUAUAUUUGAAGUGAAUUAUACUCAUUACGUAUUUCUUAUUUGUAGGACUGAGCUUGAAUGAUAAUGGAGCAAAAGAUAUCAAAUUAUUGCAACAAGGAGAAAAAUGGAAGGAUUGGGAGCUCGUCUAUUCUCGUGCGUAGCACGAAAACAGACGCGAAAAAGGUGAAAAGUGAAGGCACAAAACAGUGAAGCGAAGCAAAGGCACGGAUUGCUUCGCGAAAUGGAUGAAUUUCAAAAGUUGAAUCCGCAUAAAUGGGCGCGCAACGCGCGAAGGCAGACACGAAUUCCAACUUUUCCCAUCCGAAGUUGGAUUGAAAAGUUCCGUCCCUUAGCAACCCUAAUUGAUAUAAAUACAUCAAAGAAUGACUAUUUAAGGGUUACACAACAUCGUUGAAGGCAAGAACAAGAAAAGAGCAAGACGGAAGAUUCAGAAACGAGUUUUUAUCUUUCUUCUUCCCUUUUCCAUUAUUGAUGAUGAAUUCUUAUAUUGUAGUUGUGAAAAUAAUUAUGAGUAGCUAAACUCUUUAUUCUAGGGUUUGAUGGAACCUCUUGGAGGAUGAAUUUUUUUUGCGUUUAAUAUAAGUUUGCCAUUGGAUUUUCUCUACUUGUUUCUACGUGAUUAUUGUGGUUGAUUAAAAGGCCCUCAAUUGACUAUGCCUAUUUAGUGUGUAUUACUUAGAAAAGGGUAUAUAUUUAGGUAGUUAUUGAAAAACAUCACUCCUAACGUUUAUGAGGGAUCAAUACGGAGGAUUUAAAGGUGAGAUUAGGAAUAACAAAACCUUGGUGCGAUCUUAGUAAGUGGUAAACUAGUGCCAGCUAGCGUAGUUCGGAAGAAUACGUCUAGUAAAUUAUUGUAUUUGCUUGGAAGAGAAUUAUGAGACCUAAAGUGCUCACGAUCGGUAGAGACUAUCUAGGCGAAUUUAUAGGAGACGUAGCAGGGAGGAUUCCGAUAAGAGGGAAAUCGUAACCCUACACCUUUCCAAUCUUGUCUACAACAUUUGCUUUGUUAGUAAUAAAAUUACAGCUUUUUAAUUACCUUGCUUUUAGUUAGUAAACACUCAACUCAUUAUUCGAUAUUUCUGAAAUUUGAUUACUUGAAUUUUUGCGAAGCUAGCAGUUGUGAUUAGUAGGUUAAUUCCAUGUGGGAUUCGACUCCGCACUUGUAAAUCGGAUUAUAUUUGCAACGACCGCUUAGUCCCUUUUAUUAAGCAUAGUUGGGUGUGAUCAUCCCCCCACUUUUCGAUUACUCACUGUAAUGUGACCGAAAAGUGGAAGAUUUUCUCCUUCCUACCCUCGUCACUACCUUAUUAAAAACCUUACCGAAAAAAUCCAAUCGGGACAAAAAUCGGGGGUAAGGAAAAAGAGUGCAGAACUUAGGGAUUCAGAUGACAACUCCGCCACUUAUUAUUCUUUCUUCGAUGACCGGUUGGAGCUGCAAAAGUGUUGUUAUCACAUAAAACUUGAUCUCGGGGUUUUUAGCGUCCACCCACAACUUUUCUUUGAGUUUUAACUCUUCGGUUCUUAGUUGUACCUCUUUGAUUAUUGACUCUCAUGUUUUUAGUUGUACCCGAAAACUUUUCUUUGAGUUUUGACUCUUCGAUGUUUAGUUGUACCGGAAAACUUUUAUAAUCUCACAGCCUUCAAGACGGAGAUGUUAAUAACCAUGAAUUUUAUACUUCUGAUUUUGAUAAUGGCUAGGAAUUUGAUGCAUCCGACUAACGUUACGACCGGGAAACAAGGCAUCCGACCUUUAGCCAUUUAAUUUGAUAGCUUUAUAAGAGAGGGCCCUUAUAUUUAUAGUGCUUAUGAAGAGGAUGUCUCAUGUUCAUCUGGGCACAAUUAUUCGGAUUUGUAAUCCUUUUUUGCUUCUAAGUAUGAGCAAAUAUUAAGAAUGCUUAUGUUCAUUCAAACAUAUACAAGAAUGUUUCUAGAAAGUGCAAGUUUUGCUUCAUUCCAUUCCUUGAACGUACACAUGUGUUUAUAACUUUGCAUAUACGAUAGUUUAUAGGAGAUGAACAAAAAUACCCUGCAAGAGAAUUGCGAUUGGGCUGACAAUUAUUGGAUCUAGCCAGUUCUUGAUUCUGAUUCCUUCUAAUUUUUUUCCAGGCUGAUCUAGUAGUCCCCUGUCCUUUUCUUUAUUUUGGAGCCAGUUAGGGCUAUCUCCGGCAUCUUGUACAGAUUGUUCCAGAGCCAUCUUCAGAUGCUUUCGGUACUUACUGUUGCAGUUUCAUCUGCUCCGAUGCAACAAUCCCCAGCAUUCGUAGACAUUAUUAUAUUUCGUUGAAGUUAUUUUCUGGCGACUCACUUCGGGUACGCCCCUACCUCAUAUCAGUCCAUAAUCCAGAUGGGUAUGGUUUAAACCGGUGUCUGAAAUGCCUCCUAUCAAAGUUCAAUUAACUUUGAUUUCGGGUUGUCAAAUAUGUCGAUUUACUUAUCUUAUCAUCUUCUACACGAAUCUUUGACUCAUAUAUGUUAUGAAUAUCUUCCCAUGUUGUUGCUUGAAAUUCCAACAAACCCUCCUUCAACAUCCUUGAGGCAUCAGAACUUGUGGGAUUAAGACCCUUGGUAAAUGCUUCCACUACCCAUUCAUCUGGUACUGCCGGUAACAACAUUCUCUCUUUUUGGAAUCGGAUCACGAACUCUCGUAGCAACUCCGAGUUUCCUUGAGCGAUUCUGAAUAUAUCAACUUUUCUAGCUAGCACUUUCCUUGCUCUGGCGUGAGCUUUGAUGAUAAAAUCUUCAAGCAUUUCAAAAGAAUCAAUUAAGUAUUCAGGUACAAGAGAAUAUCAUGUUAAAGCCCAUUUUGUUAGAGUUUCGCCAAAUUUUUUUAGUAAAACUGAUUCAAUCUGAUGCGGAGCCAAAUCAUUUUCCUUGACAGCUACGGUGUAAGUUGUGAUGUGUUCAUAUGGAUCCGAUGGUCCAUAAUAUUUUGAAAUAUCCACUAUUUUGAAUCUCUUUAGAAUCAACUUCGGAGUCGCACUAGGUUUUAAAUGGAAAUUGUAUAUACUUUUUCGAAUUUGGGCCCUCUAGGACCAGAGGUGCUCCUGGGAUCUAAUCUAUUCGAGCCUGAAAUUAUUUAGCAUUUUGAUCUGUUCGAGCAUUUAUUUUCCUCAUAAACCUCAUGAGUUCGGCUUUGAAAGAAUUGUCUGCGUUAUUUUUGUUUUUCAGAUUCACUAUCGGCACCACCUACUUGAUUGUUGUUUCUUCUGAACAUCCCUCGGUAAUAAUUCACCGGUUAUUGGUGCCGUUUGAUUUAUAGGGAUGCCGGGAGGGGGUUCGAACUCCAACAUUUGAAUUAUUUGAAGUCCCCGAUAUUGUUUGUUGAAGCUUAGUCAUUAUCUGGUCCUAUCUUGAGAGAUGGUCCAUAAUUUUUUGCUGUUGUGCUCUCAACAUUUUCAUGGUAACAGCCACCGGCUCACCAUCCAUACCAUCAGGGGUAAAACUCCUCUCAUGUCGAAUUUUUCUUUCAACCCGAUUAGGAGUUGACUCAUUCCCAUCGAGACGGGUUUCACUAGUUGAACCAUCCUGUUUAUUUUCAUUAUGGAGAUUGUUCACGGGCUCAUCGUUGUGGUUUGUUCUAACAUUGAGCGAGUUGUGGAUAUCAUUGUGUGCCAUACCUGUAGUAUGCUUAAAAAAUAAAAAAAUAUAUUUAAAGCACGUUAGUAUAAGAUAUACAUAUCAAAAUAACACCACAAUUGACUAUGCCCCACGGUGGGCGCCAAACUGUUUACCGAAAAAAUGGUACAGUUGAAUUUGUAUCAGAAUUUAUAGAUACGUGAAUUAAAUUGAUCCAAUAAAAUAAAGUAAUGAAGAGCAAAGCAAGUAAAAUAAAAAUAAUUGAAGAAAAGACAAGCCUGAACUUCAGAAUAUUCACACUGGGAUUAAGAAUAAUUAGAAAAUCUCGAUAACACUUGUAUAAAACUUGAGAAAAAAAAUGUUAGUCUUUUGCUAUCAAUAUUUAUUGAUGUCUCACAAAUAAAAUGAAAGCCUUUAUUUAUAUUAGAGCUAUGAGGUGUAUGUUUACAAUUCAUGCCCUCUUAAUUAUCACAAUUAAUUUUAUAAUAAAAGCUAAUAAAAGUCUGUGAAAUCUUGGAGUCUUCUGUAAUGUUUUAUAACGGUCAUAUCUUGAGGUUUGCAUACAUAUAUCGCUUCCUCAUUCACCCACCUCUUAAUACCGAUUUUUAUCGUAACAUUUGUCAAGCGAGGAAUUCACAUAAUUACAUGAGAAGAUGAAUGAAUUUAAAUAAAGUACCAGAUAUGACUAUUGCAUAUUAGCUAUAGAAGAAGAUGCAAUGUAAAUCCAUUAUAUUUUAAAGAUGGCGAGGCAUAUAGGCUUUGCCAAAGAGAAAAUUUUAAAACUAAACAACCAAACUGUAGCCGAAUUGAAAUUAAAAAUAACUGAAUGUAUUUUGUCCCCGAGUGUGUAUUAACAUAAAUUCGAAAGAAAUUUGUUACCCAUGCCUUGAAAGGAAUUUGUUACCGCUAAAGUUUUGGACUAUAAAAUGGUAGAUAGCAAGUCUGUUAUUACCCAAUUCCAGGAAUUGCAAGUGAUUAUUCACGAUCUCCUUGCUGAAGGUAUAAGUCAAAUUAAUACUAAUGUUAAAAGUAUUAAUUAUAUUGUUUCUACUAAUAGAAUUUUCACUGAAGGUCUUGUCAUCAAUGAAUCAUUCCAAGUUGUAGCAAUGAUUGAGAAGUUGCCUCCUUUGUGGAAGGAUUUAAAAAACUACUUAAAACACAAACGCAAGGAGAUGUCCCUUGAAGAUCUCAUUGUUCGAUUGAGAAUCGAAGAGGACAACAAAGCUGCUGAAAAGAAAGGCCGUGGACACUCAACAAUAAUGGGAGCAAACAUUGUUGAGGAUGGAAAGAGGAAUAAGGCUUAUGGACCGAAAAACAACCCAAACAAGAAGCAGUUCAACGGAAAUUGCUACAACUGUGGAAAAGCUGAAAAUAAAUCUGCAGAUUGUCGUGCUCCAAAGAAAGACAAGAAGAAGGGUCAAGCAAACAUGGUUGAAAAGCACGAAGAUAUCGAUGACUUGUGUGCUAUGCUUUCUGAAUGCAACGUGGUGGGAAAUCCUAAGGAGUGGUGGAUUGAUUCUAGAGCCACUCGCCAUAAUAAUACGGUUAUAGAAUCAGAUAAUGCUAAGUUCUUUGAAAAUAUAUAUGCGUAUAAAAAAGAAUGUGAGUCGAUUGGUGAAGGAUCUAAACGACCUCAUGAAGAAACAAAAGAAAGUACAUUUAAUCAGGAGGAUCCAAGACGUAGUAAACGUCAAAGAACGUCUACUUCAUUUGGACCGGAUUUUGUGACUUUCUUAUUAGAAAAUUAGCCUCGAAUAUUUAAAGAAGCUAUGUCUUUUUUGGAAUCAUUAUUUUGGAAAGAGGCAGUCAAUAGUGAAAUACAAUUCAUAUUGAACAACCAUACAUGGGAAUUGGUUGAUCUUCCUCCUGGAAAUAAACCUUUGGGUUCUAAAUGGAUUUUUAAGAGGAAAAUGAAAGGUGAUGGAACUAUUGAUAAAUAUAAGGAAAGACUUAUUGUCAAAGGGUACAAAAGAUCUUGAUUAUUUUGAUACAUACUCUCCAGUUAUAAGAAUUACGUCCAUACGAAUGUUAGUAGCAUUAGCUGCAGUUUAUGGUCUUGAAAUUCAUCAAAUGGACGUUAAGACGGCCUUCUUAAAUGGAGAUUUGGAGGAAGAAAUCUAUAUGGAACAACCUGAAGGGUUUGUGGUUCCAGGUAAAGAAAAGAAGGUAUAUAGACUUGUUAAGUCCCUUUGCGGACUAAAACAAGCACCCAAAUAAUGGCAUGCAAAAUUUGACCAAACAAUGUUGUCAUAUGGUUUUAAGAUAAAUGAAUGUGAUAAAUGUGUGUACAUUAAAAAUGUUUUAAAUUACAUAGUCAUUGUUUGCUUAUAUGUGGAUGAUAUGCUGAUAAUGGGUAAUGACAUUGCCAACAUAAAUGCGACUAAGCGUAUGCUAACUAGCAAGUUUGAUAUGAAGGAUUUGGGAGUUGUUGAUUUAAUUCUGGGGAUAAAGAUCAAUAAGACUCCUCAAGGUAUGGCAUUGUGACAAUCUCAUUAUAUUAAGACAGUACUUGGAAAAUUAAAGCACUUAGGGUUUAAAGUUGCAAAGACUCCAAUUGACGUAAAUCUUGCAUUAGCAAAGAACAAAGGCCAAAGCAUAUCACAAUUGGAUUAUGCUCGUAUGUUGGGAUGCUUAAUGUAUAUCAUGAAUUAUACACGACCAGAUAUAGCUUGUGCUAUAAGUAAAUUGAGUCUAUACACGAGCAAUCUGGGUCAAUCUCAUUGGAUGGCAAUGAAACGAGUUUUGGGAUAUUUAGAACAUACCCAGGACUUUACUUUGCACUACAGUAAAUAUCCUGCGGUGAUUGAGGGAUACAGUGAUGCAAAUUGGAUCACCGGUUCAACUGAUUCUAAGUCCAACAAGUGGAUAUGUAUUCACUAUUGGUGGAGGAGCGGUAUCUUGGAAGUCGUCCAAGCAAACUUGUAUUGCCUGCUUUACAAUGGAAGCUGAGUUCAUAGCCUUAGAUAAAGCCGGUGAAGAAGCUGAAUGGCUCUGAAAUUUCUUGGAAGACAUUCCAUUUUGGCCCAAACCAUUGGCACCAAUAUGCAUGCAUUGCGAUAGUCAAGCGAAAAUUGGAAGGGCUGAGAGUGUGAUGUAUAACGAUAAAUCUCGUCAUAUACGACGAAGAUAUAAAACCAUUAGGCAAUUACUCUCUAGAGGAAUUAUCACGAUUUACUAUGUAAAGUCAAGCGAUAAUGUGUCGGAUCCACUUACAAAAGGCCUAACUAGAGAGGUAGUUGAGAAAUCAUCGAGGGAAAUGGGACUAUGGCCGAGAACAAGCUAUUGUGGCGGUAACUCUACCUAGAAUACUGAAGAUCCCAAGAUCUAGGUUCAAGGAGAUCAAACAAAGUCAUUAAUGACCGUUCAACAUUGUCAACUAAAAGUUUAGUCCAUUCUCGUGAUGAGACAAUGUUCAGUACCAAGGAUAAAGCAUUAAGGCUUUUUAAUGAUUUCUAAAUUUGAUACGGGGUAUAUCAAAUAGUGUAUCUAUGGGAUGACACGUUUAGGAAUCACCUAUGUAAGUAUGAAGUGUUAGCCGCUUCAAGGGAAAUUUUGUAAGGCCAAUUCUCUACGCACUUAUUAAACCAGGCGGUGUUCAUGGCUGAAACGAACACCAUAAUGAGAGCCAAAGACGGCUAAGGGUUGGUUGUGUGACUUAUGAUUGUCUAGGUAUACACCAAUGUUCGACGGUUCAAAGAUAUCAAAUCUACCGAUUGACCGAGUAUAUCCGACAUAAGUUCACUACGGAAAAUUUAAAGGGAAACCUACUUAUCCAGAUGCAAUUAAUCUUUGCUUGCGAAUCACACAGUUUUUCAUGCAUAUUUCCGUGAUAUAGCCAUUCCCCAUUCAUGUGGGGGAUUGUUGGGUUUUUAAGCUUAAAUGUAGCUUAAAGAGGGUGAAUGGGAAAUUGAGGAAAAUUGAAAAUAUUUGAGUUUCCCUCCUUGACAAAGGGACAUUGUCCCAUAUUGGAAGAAGAAAAGGUUCUGAUGGGUAUAUAUACAAUUGCACUUCUUCUAGCUCUUAAAGAGUUAAGAAGAAGGCAAGCCUCGCGCCGUCGCCGUCGUCGCUCGCUCGCCUCUGCUUCGGAUAAUAUUUUGGACCAAAUUUAUUUGUUAAUAGUAAAUAUUAACAGAAAUAUUAUUAAAUAUUUGAUUUUUUGUAAACGGAAUAUUAAUAUUAAAUUCAACGAAAUAGUAUAUGCCAUUCACUUUUUGUAAAAGACAUUUACAAUAUAGACGAAUUUACAAUAUGACCUUACAUUGUAAAUUUACAUGGCCUAAUGCGUAGUUGAAUAAGUAUAUGUAAAUAAGUGAAAAUCUAGGACUCCGGGACAUGAAUUGACUAGGAUUAAAGAAAAUCCACUUGCGCCCAAACCAUGGGAAAUGAAUUUGAACAUGAAACCACGUUAAUGUUUGGAGUUACGUACUUUACAACAUGAUGCAAAAACACUGUAGAAAAUCGCACGUAAUUAAAGUUAUUGUUUCUAUUGUAGGGUAACUUAUUUAAAAAAUGACGUGAAACACUGUAGAAAAUUUGACGUAAUGACUAGUGGUAGAUACAGUUCUUGUUUCUAAUAUAUUGCUCCCCAUUUUUACCUGGCUAUAUUCAGACUUAAUUAUUGGUGUGACAGAUUAGUGAUUUUUUAGAAAUAAAUAGCACAUAUUAGAAUUUACAAAAAGAUAAUAGUAUAAGUCAUAAUAGUAGUUAAUAAUUCAUAGUGCGUAAAAACUUUUUAAGAAAAAACAUGGUUAAGGAAGAAUCUUUCUGACCACAUAUUAAAAAUAUUGCCACAUCCAUUGAAGUAGGCUUAUUAUACAAUUCAGCAACUAGAUAAACAUUUCCCCCCGUGAUAAUCAUGAUGUAGAAUAAUAAUUUUGACACAAUCGAAUCACGGAACCUUAGGUAUGCUUUUAGUGCCUUAUCUAACUAUAAGAGCAGGAGGAGCAAGCACUUACUUUCCGUAAGACGCUAACUUCCACAGCAACUAAGAAUUAUCUAAGAUUUUCCUUUAGUGCGCUCCGGAAAGAAGGAGCAAAGGCGAAAAAGCUCAAGUGAUUUUCCCUUGACUACUGUCAGGCCAGGGAAGAUAACUGCAUACUCAUCGGUUUUUUACUUCGCAAUAACUCGGGAUUUAAUCCCAUAGAGAUGAUAAAUCUUUGGCAUGUAAAUUCAAUGAAUGAAUAUUACCUCUCGAUGAUCUUGAAUCGUAUCAAUAUCAUGAAUAACAAUAUCUGAACUAUCAAAUCAAUUCGUCGUCGAGAAUUGAAUAGUAUAACAUAUUAAAGUCCAAAUGGUCUUGUACUGCUUAAUUUUUACGUUAAUAAACAUGCUGAGCAGGAACGAAGAGUUACUAGAUUGGUUAUUAAUUACAAACCUCUUAACGAAGUAGCUUAUUAUACAAUUGAGUAACUAGAUAAACGUUUUGACGUAAUCUUUCAGCUACGAGUUUAACUGAACCUUAACUUUCGAUACGGAGUUUGAAUUUGUAUGUAAAAAUUUACUAAAAUCUCAACAAGUAUUAUAGACUAGUACUCAUAAUUUUAAUAUUACAGUAAUUUCAAUGAUAAAAAUCUUAAAAGCUGAAGCCAUUAAAUUUAAUUUUUGAAUCCGUUUCCGAGUUAAAUGAAAUUUGGGUUUUAGAAUGAGCAAUCCAGAGGGAGACAAUCUGGCUUAGCCGAGAGUAAGGCUGAUACAGAGGAACCUGAAUGGCGAAAUUGUUGUUUAUGAUCUAUCAGAUGUGUGCUUUAACAUAAGGCAGGUUCUAUAAGAAACACCAUUUUCUCUCUAGACUUGGAAAGGACGCAAACUGCACACUUGUUGGACCUGCAAUGGACACGGCUAAGCAAUCUUUGCACCAUUUUGAGAAUUUGUACUUCUUUAAAUACUGCUGUAAUAAAAGUAACUCGUUUUUGCAACUUGUUCACUCAGUCUCCACUCUCCACUUGCUCUUUUAAGAUCUUCUUCGUUCUUGGUUUCACAUCAAGACCACCGUUCUUUUAAAUAGUAUUAUUUGCAAGCAUGUUGAAGUGAUGCGAAAUACUAGUUGAUGUGACAGAUCAUCACAUUUCCUCAAAAUAUCAACAGUACUUAAUUUUACUCGUCAUCCCAAGACUGGUUUCAAUUUACUUUCCCCCUCUAUUUACAAUCUUAGCCGAAGUACAUCUUUUGUACUUUAUACCCUGCAACAAUGAGAAAUGAGGUAUCUGGAAAGAAGAUCAGUUGGGACCCCAACAGCUCAAGUACAUAACUUUUCUCAAAGAUUCUUCAGAUUGUUUAGCCUUGUCGCUCCUUGCAAUCAGUGAGGAAGAAGAAGUAGAAAGCUUCUUAGCUUGAGAGUAAGAUCUCAUGUUAUUCUUUGCGUGCUGAGCAAAGGACCUCAAAGGGUAAUUCCAUCUACAGAAACCUUGAUCUUUUAAAGCUUCCACUGCUCCAACACUGGCUGCUAUUAUCCAGGCUCUCUUGCUUGAACUCAUGAUAGUUUUCUUUCUUCUAAAAGCUCUUUUUUUCUGCUUUUGGUUCAGAGAGCACAAGAAACCUUGCUUUUGGUUCUCUGAUCUUUUAAUGCUAGGAUUUGAUAGUUUUGAAGAUGAUGUUUGAAAAUAUGGGGCCAAAUAUGAAUAUAUAGGCACAGAAAAGAAGUUGAGUAAAUAGGAGAAAGAGACUUUAGUAGCUAAAGAUUGUGAAACCGUGAUAAACCAAUGGCUCUUUAGCUAACUGUGUGCUCUCUGUAUUGCAGCUAGUGGUUUUUUGGAGUAGUUACUUGUUGUCCGUGAAGAAAAAGGGGAAUGCAUUUACUAGGCAUUUGGACAUAAAAAAUUAUAAUUUUUGAAGAAAAAAAAAGUAUUUGGAGUCAAAUUUAAAAAAAUAGUAUUUGGAAUUUAUAAUGUUUCAACAACCGUAUUACUUAAAAAAAUGUUGCAGUUUUGUGAGUGAAAAAAAAAAAUACUUUUUCUAAAAAAUUUGAAAAAGUGAUUUUUUCUUUUUGAAAAACUAAUUUUCCAAAUUUUUUUAAAAACUUGUAAAAUUUUAUGGACAAACACAUUUUAAAAAAAAAAUAAAAAAAAGGAAAAACAUUUUAUGGACCAACUGAUAUACAUUAUUUUUAAGAAGAAAACAAGAUUUUGGACCGCAGCUGGUUUUCUAAUGGAUUUUGGAAAGUAGCUCUCAGUAAGUUUAGGAGCUUCGAACCUGGAUGGUUCAAGAGAUUCGUUUUAUCAUUUACUAAAAUGUCAAUAUUUUAAUUGAAACAUCUUAGUUAAAAUUUACCUAACUGUGAUUUACUUUUUCAAUUCAACAAUUGUUAGGCAACCGUCUUAUUCAUUAUUAUUAGUAAUACUAAAGCCAUAAAACAUUAAACAAAUCUGUUAAAGUACAUUAUUGGAAAAAUCUUGUUGCUACUUUCCAUGAAUAAAAGAAUUUUAAGGCAUUUGAAAUAAACAAUGACUACCACAUGACAAUUCCAAAUUUUCAAAAUUCCACGGGCAUAUAUUCUUGGAGAAAAAAUGGUUAAACAAAUCUGCGGACCAAAACCACUGGUUUCUUCAUAAUAAAGUGUUUUUAAGAAAACACAAAAAACCACACGUGUUGAAGCCUUCCAUGCCUUUAUAAGCCAGAAAAAACAUGUGCAUUUCCACUUAGUUUUAGCAACCAAACUAAACCAAGUGUAACAACUUACAAGCGCAUACAAAUUAAGUAGGAUUCAAAAGACCUUUUCAAUCUUUAAUCUUGCGUUGUUUUAGAUCAGUAAUUAGUUCCCUCUCCUAAAAGAAUUUCCCAGAAAAAGGAAAUUAGACAGGUACAAGGGCUACACUCAUAAAGAGAGAACAAUGUGCUACAUGAAAAACAAGAUUGUGGCAGGAAUUAAGCCUUCUCUGGUGAGUUCCUCAUCGGAAUCCGGCAACCGAGGCCGGCUGAGAUGGUUUUCCGGCAGCGGAGAUUCAGGGAAGAAAGCAUUCAUGGAUGAUCAGAAGCGCAGAGUUAGGGAGGCGGAAAAGACUGAAAAAAUUAUGCAUCUUAUCUUCUGGGGACCCAAAUAGUCUAUCUCUUUCCGGCUGACUAUUUGGCCUAAUAUUAUAUGCUUAGUACAUUUUGCUGUAAAUAUUUCUCCUCUUCUAUUUAAUUUUGUUAGUACAUUUAGUGUCUCUACGAUGAGUGAGGUGUGGGUUUGUGGAAGUUUAAACUUAAAUCAGGCAAUCGCUGGGAGAGUUUAUACUAUGUAUAUAGAAAUAGAAGUUUCUGUUUGCAAGAUGAAGAUGUAAAUGUGUGUGUAACAAUGAACUGUCCAGGAAAUUAUAAUUUGCCCAUGGCAGUUCCUUUGACUAACUACAGCUUUCUCUUGUAUUCCGUUCAAAUUAGUUUCUUUAUUUACUGUUUGAUAUGCAAUUACUGGAGGCUUUUAAUUUCGGGAAAAUCGCGAGGAAAAUGGAGUGAUUUUAUGGUGUGCCUUACGCAUUCUUUUUGUCUCGCACAUUUGUAGAUCUAUAUCUUACAUAUUUGGGUCCACAAAAUUUUGGGAUCACAAAAUUAUGACACUAAAAUGUGCUGGGUUUUCCGGGAUCCAGUAAUUGCGAUUUUCACUUCAUUCUUUUUGUCUCGCACAUUUGUGGAUUUAUAUCUUACAUAUUUGGGUCCACAAAAUUCCGGGAUCGCAAAGUUGUGACACAAAAAAGAAGCCUCACACAACUAGUGUCAGUUGUGUGAGGCACAAAAUAAAAAAUUUCAUCCAAAUCGUAUAAUAUUACAUUAUAUUAAGGGUAUUUUUUUAGCCAAUUUAACCCAUACUACCAUGUGCAAAUCAAGCUUUUCGAAAAAGAAAAAAAGUGUGAGUAGAGUAAAAGUAAUUUUGGAGAAACAAAAAAAAAUAUUUUCCCCAAUAUCAUUUUGUUUGAAAAGUACUUUUGAGAAAAAUACAUUUAAAAGCACUUUUAAAAACUUGAUCAAAUACUAAUUUCUGCUCAGAAGUAUUUUUUAAUUAAUUAGCCAAACACAAACUGCUUUCACAAAAAUACUUUUAAAAAAAAUAUUUUUCAAAAUAACAUCAAUAAUUCCAAAAAAAAAAAGUAUGUGCAAUUAUUAUGACACCCCUAAUAGUAAUGCAAUUAAUGCCGUUGUGACAUCACCAUUUUUUUUUAGAGAAAUUUAGGACCGUUUGUCCAUAAAAAAAAUUUCCUUUUUUUCAAUUUUUUUUAACAAAAUAUGUUUGUCCAUUAAAUUUUGCAAGCUUUUCAAAAUUUUUUGAAAAUGAGUUUUUCAAAAAUCAAAAUUUCAAAAUUUUCAAAAGUUUUUUUUUUCCACUCACAAAACUGUAAUAUUUUUUCAAAUGAAAUGCAUAUCCAAACAUAAUUUCAAAUUUCAAAUAUACCAUUUUUCAACUUAACUUCAAAUAUUACUUUUUUUUUAAAAAAAAAUACAAUUUUUAUGUCUAAACGCCUACUUAGAGACCGUACCACAAUUAAAUUUUCGAUAGACUUUUUUCUUGGGUACAAUACGUGGUAUUUUAAGUGCCAUGAUUUAUUUUGAACCAUUUAUCGUUCCGAUAUUUUGAGUGGCAAAAUGACCUUUCUUCCAUGAUUCAUUGACAUUUCAAUCAUUUGUAUCUUUUAUUCGUUAAAAAAAAAAAAAAAAACUAGUUAUGAGAUAUGUUACUACUCCAUUAUGGUCUAGGUCACAAAAGGUGUAGGGGCUGAAAUGAUUAUUUAGAACACUUAAACAAGUUUUUUAUAUCUAUUCCAAAGUUGGAAGGUCUCAGUUGUCAAAUUAUUACAAUUACUACGUACUGCUUCGUUAACUUUUUAAGUGGGAGCUAUGACCAUCCCAGUUCUUCGGCCUCCAACGAGCUAGAGGUAAAUAGAAAACAUAAAUAGGAGAACAAGGUCAAGUCUUCUUAUAAUGUCUAAGCCAAGUGAUUCAAGAAUCCAUAGUGAUUGUUCUAGGAAUUGUGAACUAGUCAAAGUAUUCCAUGUUUAGUCAGGGCGGUAGAAACUAUGAUUAUUCAGGAGUUUUGAGUUCAUGCAAUAAUAUAGAUAACAUAUUAUUAAUAACUUAAAAGAGAAUAAGUAACAUGUUAAUUAAAUUAUAGUGAACCAUAAAAAUUCGAUACGAUGUAGUGUAUAUAGCUUAAAUUCUUCAAGAGAGAAAUGAUAAAUCCUACACUUCGGAUGGCUUCAGUGCUUGCGGGAGAAGGAAAAUCUAGAAAGAGAAAAGACAAAUGAAACAAGUCUUUACAAUAACAAUGUCAAGUUUCAUCUUUAAUUUGUAGUUUGGAACUUAAAUGUUAAGUUUGGGAUAAUAUGCUUGAACUAGGAAUAAGUAGGCCCCUUGUUGGUCGAGUGACUAUAAUAAGCAUAUUCCUGUUUUACCUUAAAGCAUAUCUUGUCACCUCAUGUUUGCAUUUCCACCUACAUUUUCUUUGAAAAAGUUUUUGGAAAAGGUUAGAUAGCAUAUAUUCUUACGGAAAUCUUUAUGCAAAAUACAUAAAAGACCAUAUUAAAUUUGUCCAAAAAACAGGUUUGAACAGUUAAAUUAAACGGAUGUUCUUUUACCCCCUACACAUAUUUGGAAUGAAUUAUUUCACCACCUGAAACACGAAUACCAGUCUCACAAUAUGAAGUAUUUUUCACGCGCGCUAGGUCAGGCACCAUGUCAGCGCGUUAGGUCAGGCACCAUGUCAGCGCCACGUCAGAAAUUUUCUAUCUUUUGUAAAUUGUAAUUUGUACUCUUUUCUUUUUCAUUUUUCUUACUUCUAUUUUUACAAACAAAAAAAAAAUUGCUUAAAUAAACUGACAAAUAAAUAAUUUUAAUGACAUUUUGGGUAUUCCAAGCGCAAGUUUUGAAGCAAAGUAAAGAAUAUUUGUUGUCAUUUUCCUAGUUCCGGCGACAUCUCCAACUUCUUCUUCUCUACGUUCAAAACUGCUUUUAUUUGCGCCUCCAAUUCAAAAAUUCAAAUGAAUAAAUAGAGGAAUAGAUCGAAAAUUAAGCACGAAAUAUAUAAAUCGAACAUUUACCACAUUGAAUUAUUGAGUUUUUUGGAGUGGGAUUGAGAUCGAUUUUGAAACCCAGGUAGAGAGACAUAACGAGAGAGAGACUUUCGUUUAAAGAUUUUUAACUUUGGGUGUUGCUGAAUUUUGUUGGGUGCAAUUUAUGGAGUCUGUAUCUGAAAUUUGGGGCAAUUUGGUGAAGGAUUUGAGUGGUUUCGAGUUGGAUUAAAGUUUCAAUAGUUUACUGCACUAUCUAUGAAGAAGAAAUGGACGAGUGGUGAGGAAGAAGGAGAAAGGAUGGGGGGGGGGCACUUUCUAUUUUUAUUUUCUAUUAUGUAUGCACUUUUAAUUUGUUUUCUUUCUAUUUUUUUGCCACAUCAGUUGUUAAGGAGGAAAAUAAUUCACUUCAGAUNNNNNNNNNNNNNNNNNNNNNNNNNUAUAUAUAUAUAUAUAUAUAUAUAUAUAUAUACAUUCUCGUGGUCUGAAAAUACAGCCCCAUACGGGCCAUGGACUGAAAAUUUGGAGUAUGAUAUAUGCACAGUUGCAUCAGCAGUGUGACAACACUUUUGAUUCUGGGCUGAUGAUUCGGUCCUGUUCUUAGGUCUAUUGUCAGAAGCAUAAUUUAUGCAAUUGAUGGAAGACUAAUCUAUUUUGUGUCAGUUUGAGGUAAAAACAGUUCUCCUGCAAGAUGAAAUUGUAAAUAUCUUUGGGUGUUUACGGAGAUGUUGGCUUUUAUUUUUUGGUAAAAUAUUUAGUUAGCGUUUGGACAUGAAUUUGAUUGAAACGUUAAAAAGAGUUUUUGAAAUUGUGUUUGGAUAUGCAUUUUGUCACACCCCUUUUCUAUCCUUAAAAAGAUAUACGGACCGUGGGUUAAAGAGUUUUUUCAAUCAAAGUGACAAAUUUGAGUAGGGAUUAUUUUAUUUACAGAGUCGGCACUUGAAAUUGAUUUUUGGGUGUUCCAAGUCACAUUUUAUUUGAAUCCCUAGUCAAAGGAAGGUUUGACUCCAUUAUUAUUGGUCUGCGAAAAUAAAGUAUGGGUAAGAAAUUCUGUUGACCGGGGAGAAGGUGUAAGGCAUUCCCCUAGUUCCUGGUUCUAGCACGGUCGCUUUAUUGACUACAACUUGACUUGAAUUAAUUUUGGAUAACAUGUGUUUUAUUGGUUCUCAUGUUUUAACUAUGUCCGCUUUUAUUGCUUGAUUGGAUUUAUAAAAAUUAUCUUGAAAUAAGUCACUCGUACGUGUACUCAUUUUGUUUGGUGUGUCAAAAAUCAUGUCACGCGUACGUGUACACAAUUAAUAACACUUUAUUAUUAUCAAGAUUAUUUGCUCAAAAUCGCGCGAACGCGUACUUUGAUUUAUUUUAAAAAUCGUAAUCAUGUCACGCGAACGUAUACAUAAUCACGAUGAUUUGUUAUUAAUUGCGCUUAAAGCAAGCUACGAUGUUCAUGAAUUAUUUUCCCUAAAACUAGUUUGAGAUUAUUGUGAAAGCCAUGAUUUAUGAAAAUUAUUGUGGAAGGGUGUAAGAUUUGAUUAUUAUAAUUAUGUAAGAUUUCUUAUCCUAAGAUAAUUUCACAUGCAACCUUCAGAGUCUCUUCUGCUGAAUCUCUCAAGAAUUUUCUCCAUAUUGACUACUUCUCUCACAACAUCUGAUGAAAUAAAGAUUCCCUGGGUUAUUUAAUAUUUGGAGUGAACAAUACAAUAAUAUACUAUGAGUAGCUAGCAUUCCACCUAAGAACUAGCAGGAUCACAAUGGACUAGGUAGAUUUCUACUAUAUACAAUAUCAUCCCAUUAUCCGCAAAAAACAAAAAAAAAAGUUUCCGGCUAUUUCAGAUAGGAAGUUAUCCUAAUAAAGGCUUUCUUGGAAUCUCGAUCUUCCAACAAAAAUAAAAAAUUUCUUCUCAAAUCAAUUAUCCUAAUCCACCAAAUUAUCUUGAAUAACACAUUCAAACAUGCUUUAUCAAAAAAAAAAAAAGAAUUCAAGCAUUCAUAAGAACAAGUAUCUACUUUCUUAAGCAAAUUGAGCCUUUAACAGAUCUAGCAGAGCUUGCUAAAGAAAGUAUUUGAAAUAAAUGGAACCAGUUGGCUUACAAAGAAGACGAGAAGAUAUGCCGAUAAGAUUGAACACAAAUGACAUCGUCAGAUUGCGCCGGAAACCUCGCCAUGAACUCGAAAGGACCUCUCGAACUCUGCUUCAAACUCCGGCUGAAAAUAUUGGUACUUUACGAGUGGUUUUGGGUUGAUUUUUGGAGGAGGAAGGUUUAAGAGCUUGGUGGCUGCUGGUUUUAAUGGAGUUCGAAAGUGGCGUCGCCGACGUUAGCUCGCCCAGCCAAAUCUGAAAGUUCUCAUCGUCAUCAAUAUCUCCGGCGAAGUCGACGCGGCGGGCUUCUCCAAUGAAGAGCUUCUGCUAUCGCCGUCUUAAUGAGAGAGAGAGAUUUAGGGAAUGAAGGAGCUAAAUCUUGGGGGGUCCCUCCAUUUUUUUCUGUGUAGAUAUAUAAGCAUGUGUGUGUGUGCAGUUGUAUUUGGAAUAUGGAUAAGAAUUAGGGAAGUUUCUUGGAAGGCCACCUUUGCUAGCUGUCAUUGAAGAAUUAAUUUACGAUGUGAGUGUGUGCAUCUGUAGCUGAGAUGGCUAAAGGACAAAAGAGUGAUAUGUGUACAUUAUACCUAAAGGAGUUAGUGAUAAAAUAAAUAAUAAAGUCAAUCAAAGUGCAGGUUUGUGCACUGUGAUCACGUGAAAUCCAAUGGUAAGGGCACAAACAAUAUGGAAUCUUUCCUUUUUUUUGUUAGUUAAGUGAAAAAGAUUAUUAUUCCUACUAAAUUGAAAUAGUAAGAUAAAAUAUUAACUAACUACUUCUAGUAUAAGAAUAUACAUAUUUUUUUUAAAAUUUUCUUUCUUUUGCAAAAUUAAAAACUACUACUCUAAGAAUAUAAAAUAUUUUUGUGGUUUCAAUUUUAUCAAUUAAACCUAAUAUAAAGUAAAAUAAAGACUAAAAUAUUAAGAUUAAACUUAGCAAGUAUUUAUAUACUAAAAAGUGAUAAAAAAUAUAAAUAUAAUAAAAAAUUAGGUGCUCACAGCUGCCCCUCUUUGUUUGGAAACAUGAAGAGUUUUCAGGCAAAGACAAAGUGAGCCGUGUGACUAAUUUUUGACCAUAUCGUUAUUUAAAAGAGGAAGAAAAUAAAAGAAAAAGGUACAACCGAGUCCUGGUUUUGGACAACCUACAUAUCCCGGGUUAUAAGGGAAUCAGGUCGCGUGUAGUUCAAGAAGAAUGAUGGAGUGAUGAGUUCGAGAGUCGAGCGAGGUUUCGUCGAGGCUCCGAUCCGUGGCCCUGUUAUUACAUCAAAUCUAAAGGAACUAAACAAGCCUAUCAGCUAUAAGUUACAAGAUUCCUAUCUAUAAGUCUUCUGAAUCUUGAUCUUGAGUCUUGAAUGGUUCUUCAUGCAGACUUUUGAUCUGAACCUUGAUGCUUGCUAGCUGCAGGUGCUAGUUCAUUCUUCUACAGCUUCUUCUGAUCAAAACGGGAAAUGUAAAGUUCGUAACUUCAGUCAUGUCUUGAGGAAUCCAUAUCCUUUCUAUUUGCUUCUGCAUUUGGAUUCACUUCUUUUACUUUUCUUUUCUUUAUUCUAGAUUGAGAAAUCUUCUUUUAGUCAUCUCGAACCAUAUGCCUCGAGGUAAAAACAUGCUCAGACACCAAAACAAACAAACGAACAAAAUUUUCUGCCCUAGUUUUUACUAGAAAAAUUUCGUGAGUUAUUGUAACAAAAUUCUAAACUACUUCUUUAUUGAAAGCAAUAAAAAAACAGGAAUGGUAUACCCUAAAAAGGUCAUAAUUUUAUUUUUUAAUUGUCCCAAAAGAAUGUCACAACUAAGGAUUGGUGUACCUUAUGUUAGGAAAAUAUGACCAGGGAAUGAGAUACCCUAUAUUGGCAAUGAUAUCAGGGAGUGGUGUAUCCUGCAUUUAAAAUCAAAUCAACUAGGGAGUGGCGUACCCUAUAUUGGAGAAUACAGCUAGGGAUUGGUGUACCCUAUACUGGUAAGGAAAUGUAAUCAGGGGAUGGCGCCUUGUAUUACUAAAAAAGAAAUAUAACCAGGGGUUGGCGCCUUGUAUUACUGAAAAAGAAAUAUAAUCAGGGGAUGUCGCCUUGUAUUACUGAAAAGGGAAUUGUAACCAUGAGUUGGUGCCAUGUAUUACUGAAAAAGAAAUGUAACCAGGGGUUGGCCCUAUAUUACUGAAAAGGAAAAUGUAACCAGGGGUUGGCGCCCUGCAUUACCGAAAAGGAAAUGUAACCAGGGGUUGGCGUACUGAAAAAGAAAUGUAACCAGGGGUUGACGCCCUGUAUUAAUGAAAAAGAAAUGUAACUAGGGAUUGGCGCCCUGUAUUACUGGAAAGGAAAUGUAACCAGGGGUUGGCGCCAUGUAUUACUGGAAAGGAAAUGUAACCAGGGGUUUGCGCCCUGUAUUACUGAAAAGGAAAUGUAACAAGGGAUUGGCUCCCUGUAUUACUAAAAAAGAAAUAUAACCAGGGGUUGGCGCCCUACAUUACUGGAAAGAAAAUGUAACUAGGGGUUGGCGCCCUAUAUUAUUGGAAAAAAAUGUAACCAGGGGUUGGCGUCCUGUAUUAAUGAAAAGGAAAUGUAACCGGGGGUUGGUACCCUGUGUUAUUGAAAAGGAAAUGUAACCAGGGGUUGACGUCCUGUAUUACUGGAAAAGAAAUGUUGAAUACCCUUGGAGAAAAGGUUCUACCUGGGUUAAACUAAUGAAAAGCAAGCCUGGACAAAGACUACUUCUACCCGGAUUAAGCUACAAAAAGCAAACCUGGGCGAAGAGUACUUCUACCCGUAAAUAUAAGCUGGAUCCCCCUAGAUGAAAAUGUUUUACCUGGGUUAAGCUACGAAAAGCAAGCCUGAGCGAAAAGUACUUCUACCCAGAAAUAUGAGUUGGAUCUCCCUAGCGAAAUAGUUUUACCUGAGUUAAGCUACGAAAAACAAGCCUGGGCGAAGAGUACUUCUACCCGGAACUAUGACCUGGAUCCCACUUUUCUCCAUAUUGACUACUUCUCUCACAACAUCUAAUGAAAUAAAGAUUCCCUGGGUUAUUUAAUAUUUGGAGUGAACAAUACAAUAAUAUACUAUAAGUAGCUAGUAUUUCACCUAAGAACUAGCAGGAUCACAAUGGACUAGGUAGAUUUCUACUAUAUACAAUAUCAUCCCAUUAUCCGCAAAAAAAAAAAAAAAAGUUUUCGACUAUUUCAGAUAGGAAGUUAUCCUAAUAAAAGCUUUCUUGGAAUCUCGAUCUUCCAACAAAAAUAAAAAAUUUCUUCUAAAAUCAAUUUUCCCGAUCCACCAAAUUAUCUUGAAUAACACAUUCAAACAUGCUUUAUCAAAAAAAAAAAUUCAAGCAUUCAUAAGAACAGGUAUCUACUUUGUUAAGCAAAUUGAGCCUUUAACAGAUCUAGCAGAGCUUGCUAAAGAAAGUAUUUGAAAUAAAUGGAACCAGUUGGCUUACAAAGAAGACGAGAAGAUAUGCCGAUAAGAUUGAACACAAAUGACAUCGUCAGAUUGCGCCGGAAACCUCGCCAUGAACUCGAAAGGACCUCUCGAACUCUGCUUCAAACUCCGGCUGAAAAUAUUGGUACUUUACGGGUGGUUUUGGGUUAGUUUUUGGAGGAGGAAGGUUUAAGAGCUUGGUGGCUGCUGGUUUUAAUGGAGUUCGAAAGUGGCGUUGCCGACGUUAGCUCGCCCAGCCAAAUCUGAAAGUUCUCAUCGUCAUCAACAUCUCCGGCGAAGUCGACGCGGCGGGCUUCUCCAAUGAAGAGCUUCUGCUAUCGCCGUCUUAAUGAGAGAGAGAGAUUUAGGGAAUGAAGGAGCUAAAUCUUGGGGGGUCCCUCUGUUGUUUUUCUCUGUGUAGAUAUAUAGGCAUGUGUGUGUGCUGUUGUAUUUGGAAUUGGGAUAAGAAUUAGGGAAGUUUCUUGGAAGGCCACUUUUG